rnacentral:lncRNA from 1 species
AUUCUUCGUUGUGGGUCCUUCUAGUUGUGGCGUGUGGGACGCUGCCUCAGCGUGGUUUGAUGAGCAGUGCCAUGUCCGUGCCCAGGAUUGGAACCAGCGAAACACUGGGCCGCCUGCAGCGGAGUGCGAGAACUUAACCACUGGGCCACGGGGCCAGCCCCUGCUGUGCCUUUUCUAUCACAUUAAAGCUGUCUUUCCAUUGUGAUCCAGCUUCCAUUUUGGCUGUUGAGAAAUUAGGGUGGCAGCACACUGGUCCUGGCCCGGUGACUCAGCACAUACAUGAGGGUCAUCACACUGUUGAAGGAGUCCAAAAAGCGUUCUGGCAGCUGAGGCUCCAAAAUGCCUGCCAGCAGAUGUUUCUGUAUAAAAACAGAAAGAGAAAGAGAGAGAGAGAGCUCACAUUGCCUGGUUCCUGUAUGCAAAAGUUUCAACUACCACGGCUUAAAGAAGACCAGUAGUCCCACAAGGUGGUUUUCAUGUCCGUGACCCCAGUGUAGAAACUGUGCUGCUGCCUGUUCAAAGUUUCUGCUACCUGUUCAGUCUGCAGAUCACUACCUAGAUCAAGAAGGCACAUCAUGAUCAGUGACAACAGCGAUCUGUCGGUGGUUACUCAGGGCAUAUCUGUUUUUCACGUCACACAGACGACAAAAUGUGUUGUUUUGUUGCCAUCUUGUCUCCCCCCUGAAAUGGAUAAUCGAAAGAGGGAAUUGCCCAAGA